rnacentral:rRNA from 1 species
UACGAAGGGAGCUAGCGUUGUUCGGAAUCACUGGGCGUAAAGCGCACGUAGGCGGAUGUGUCAGUCAGGGGUGAAAUCCCGGAGCUCAACUUCGGAACUGCCUUUGAUACAGCACUUCUUGAGUCCGAUAGAGGUGGGUGGAAUUCCUAGUGUAGAGGUGAAAUUCGUAGAUAUUAGGAAGAACACGGGUGGCGAAGGCGGCCCACUGGAUCGGUACUGACGCUGAGUUGCGAAAGCGUGGGAGCAAACAGG